UUAGCCGUUUCAGAAUCUAAAGAAUCAUGGGUAAUUUCAUUGUUCGUACCCCAAAAUGAAAAUAACGCCACGUCAUUGGUUAAAUUUCCAUUGUUUAUGACAUUUUCAACCAAUCAUGACGUUGUGGUGUACACUUUUGAAAAUAUUACCCAGAAUGCAAUAGAUUCUGAAACGGCAAAUUGAUGUGGCUGUGUAUUCAUGUAUCCCGAACAGUGUAAUGGUCGCUGCUUUAUAUUCUGAGCUUUACAGAUUGAUUGUUGCUGUAAGCAGCAUCAGCACAAAAAGGCGGCGACAGCUAUUUCAAAUAUUAUGUUAAAAAAAAAACAAUUAUAAAAAGUAGACAAACUGUCCAUUUACUUUCCCUUUAUGUAGAUCCCAUACCGCUGACUAUGCGAUAUGGGCUGUGCUCAUUGUUGAAGGCCGUAUGGUGACCUAUAGCUGUUAAAUUAUGAGUCAAUUGGUCUUUUGUUGAGAGUUGUCUCAUUGACAAUCCUACCGCAUCUUUUAUUAUAUUUAAAGCGAAAUUACGUAUGCAUACACAUAAAAUUGAACACUAAGAUUAUGUGAUAAAAAGUUAAAACAAUUUCUUACUUUUUAACAACAACUUGUUCAUAUUUAGAAAUAUAUUCAGUUUUUCUUAUUAAAUGAGAUUUUUUGAACAAAAAUACUGUUG
rnacentral:lncRNA from 1 species